GAUGGAGCCAGGAGUCUCAUGUACCAGGCCUGGAGCUCUUUCUGCUGGGAGUCAAGAAGCAAUACUAGAUUGAAUCGAAGGGCAUGGGCCAUAGGAUUGAAGGAAUCUGCUAGAGCUUUUUGUGCUUGGUUGGAAGGCAAGAGGGGGAUGACUUGAACAUGCAAACAACUCAAGGGGAGAUCGCGAGGUGAAUACCCACCCUUCCCCAUGCCCCUGGCCUCUCCCUGACUCCCACCCCAGGGCAAAGGAACAAGGAGGACUUCCUGCUAAUUUUCAACUGCAUUUUGCUCUCUGUUAUGUAGUAUUUCAGUGCCAGGAUCCACUCAGGAGAGUUGGGGCGAGGCUGGCUGAGGUUCUCAAGGAGCUGAGUUUUGAGUUCAGGUGCCCGCAUGGGAGUGGACUGAUGCCUCCUGACCUUUCAGACCUUUGAGACCUCUGGGAGGUCUUAGAAAUCACCUCAAGCCUCCAGUCCAGGAUACGACUGCCUAGGGGAAUCCCAGGGAAAGGUGGCAGAAAUAGCAUGGACGGCAAGGUGAUGGAUACUACAGUGAGUUCACUACAAGAUCUUCGAGAUCCCAAACCACCAGCUCUGCCAAGGCAUCAUGCCACCCUUCUGGAGAGACAGCAAGAAGCAAGCUGGGAAGAGGUCCACUUCUUGGCCUGAGAGAGGCUGGACCACCUUCUCAGGUAUCCUGGGGAACUCCUGAAGGACAGUGAGGAAGGUGCUGUUGGGUCCCAGGACAGAAGUACAGCAGUGAGAGCCCAGAGACACCUUGAGUGGCAUCACACCCAAUGUGCCUCCAGACCCAAAGUCCUCUGAGUGACAGUUCUGAAUUGGACUGUUUUUCCGUUGUCAUUGCCUGCGUAACACAAUUCUGGAUGACUUUGACUGGUUGGCUUUUUAUUACUUCUUUUUUUUUUUUCUCCCCUGUCUUUUUCUUUUCUUGACCCAGGGAGUUGUAAAAAGGAAUUGCUUUAAAAGGUAUAAUUCUGUGCUGAAAUUAGCCUUGUUUAUGAACCAAUUCUGUUCCUAGGGAGUUUCUGAAUUGCAGUCCCAGGUUAACUAGUAAAUGGGGCUAUGUAGUUUGAUUUGUAUGGCACUGAUCCUUAGAUUAAAAAUACAUUUUCUUUCUGUUUUUUUUUUUUUUUUUUUUUAAGUUUGGAUUCGGGUAAUGACCCGAGUCCUAUUUGCUUAGCUACUGAAGAAAUCUCAAUGUGGUACCACUUGGAGUUGAAAUAUAAUCAAACAUACAUUAUACCUGGGGCUCUUGCACACUAUUUGAUAGAAAUGUUACACUACAAAGGAACAUACACUUCAUAGGUUGAAAUUUAAUUCCUCUCUGAUCCUGCAGCUAGAAUGGCAAAGAAAUUAUAAGUAUAAAAAGUAACUUCAAAUAUCCUGAACGUUAGCUAGUCAAUUUUGGGUGGUUUUGAAAUGCCAUUUUCUAAGACAACACCGGAACUGGAGAUUGACUGACCUCAUCACCCGUGUUGCAGGGUCUCUGUGGAUCUACCUGCAUUGGAGGAGUUAAAGAACAAUGCAUGCUUCUGUGGAUGGGUGGAUGGAAAUUGUGGUAUUUCUGACUUUGUCUUGUAACUGUGCCUACCUCGAAAUAAAGAAACUUCAGUUGA